rnacentral:rRNA from 1 species
GAUAAACUGGAGGAAGGUGGGGAUGACGUCAAGUCAUCAUGGCCCUUACGACCAGGGCUACACACGUGCUACAAUGGCAUAUACAAAGAGAAGCGACCUCGCGAGAGCAAGCGGACCUCAUAAAGUAUGUCGUAGUCCGGAUUGGAGUCUGCAACUCGACUCCAUGAAGUCGGAAUCGCUAGUAAUCGUAGAUCAGAAUGCUACGGUGAAUACGUUCCCGGGCCUUGUACACACCGCCCGUCACACCAUGGGAGUGGGUUGCAAAAGAAGUAGGUAGCUUAACCUUCGGGAGGGCGCUUACCACUUUGUGAUUCAUGACUGGGGUGAAGUCGUAACAAGGUAACCGUAGGGGAACCUGCGGUUGGAUCACCUCCUUACCUUAAAGAA